GGAAAUCAUACUUGUUCCUUUUUUUUUUCAUUUAGCGUUUUCUCCAGUACAUUUGCAGGUUCUUUAACUUCUGCAAUGUAGACAUUUGUUUCUUAGCAUUAUUAAGUUUAGUCAAAAUGUCUUUGAUAAAAUGAUAUUUUAAACUUUUUAUUCAAAAUAGGAAUGUGAAACUGUUGGCUCAGAUGUAGGCCUCUAUGAAAGUUUGCUUCCUAUGUAUCUUGUUUUCCUUUCUACAUGCUUGCUUGUUUCCUACAUCAUAAUAUUCUUCUGGAAAUCCAAUUUUUGUUCUUCACAACUCGAAAGGGUCCAGCUUGCAAUGAAGAAUACCCCCACCACCACCACAACUAGAGAAAGUCCACUCCCUGGAAGACCCAGCAUAGGCAAAAAUAAAUAAUAAUUUUAAAAAAUUAGAAAAGGAAGUACUACAGACACAGUGAGCUUCUGGUUUGUUCAUCCCUGUAUCCCUGGGGCCUGAACAGAUCCUGCUACAUAAUAGGCACUUGGUAAAUAUUUGUUAUCUCUGGAGGUGAAUGAGGACCUUUAAGGAUAGUAGAGUAAAAAAGAAGUCCAAGGACAAAAAGAAGAAAGUAUGUCAGGGGAUACUUGUUAGAAACCAAGAAGGUGUAGUGCAAAGGAAGCCAUGAGGGGAGUUUUUUUGUUCAUGUUUGUGCACACGUGUGCUAAGUCACUUCAGUCAAGUCCGACUCUGCAACCCUAUGGACUGCUACCUGCCACUCUCCUCUGUCUUUGGGAUUCUCCAGUGCUGGAGAAGACCCUUGAGAGUCCCUUGGACAGCAAGAUCAAACCAGUCAAUCCUAAAGGAAAUCAACCGUGAAUAUUAACUGGAAGGACUAUGCUGAAGCUCCAAUAUUUUGGCCACCUGAUGUGAAGAGCUUACUCAUUGGAAAAGACCUUGAUGCUAGGAAAGAUUAAGGGCAGGAGGGAAAGGGGGUAACAGAAGAUGAGAUAGUUGGAUGGCAUCACCAACUCAAUGGACAUGAGUUUGAGAAACUCCAGGAGAUGGUGAAGGACAGGGAAGCCUGGCAUACUGCAGUUCAUAGAAUUGCAAGUAGUCAGAUACAGCUUAGCGACUGAAAAACAAUGGUGACCUCCAAGAGGGCUCACACUAAGGGGCACUUCCUGGGACUGCUGCUGCUAGUGCCCCCAUCCCUGCAGCGAGCCACUGCUGACCCACGACUCCGCAGGAGUUCAUCGAACACUAGAUGGUUGGUCUGGUUCAGUCUCCUGUGGGGUCACUGCUCCUUUCCUCUCAGUCCUGGCGCACACAAGAUUUUGUUUGUGCCCUCCAAGUGUGAAGUCUCUAUUUCUCUCAGUCCUAUGGAAGUCCUGCAAUCAAAUCCUGUUGGCCUUCACAGUCAGAAUCCCUGGGGAUUCCUAGUCCCUUUGCUGGAUCCCCAGGCUAGGACACUCAGAACCAUCACAAGAGUGGGAGAACUUCUUUGAUAUUAGUGUUCUCCAGUUUGUGGGUUGCCUGCUAGGCGGGUAUGGGAUUUAACUUUAUCGUGAUUGUGCCCUCCCCCCACCAUCUCGUUGUAGCUUCUCCUUUGUCUUUAGAUGUGGGAUAUCUUUUUUUGGUGGGUUCCAGCAUCCUCCUGUCCAUGGUUGUUCAAAAGCUAGUUGGUGCUCUCACAGGAGAUGGGCACAUGUCCUUGUACCCUGCCAUCUUGAACCAGUCAACCCUGAAGACAAGACUAUAAGUGAGUGAUUAUAAACAGUGAUUGCAGAAACUGAUUCAUGAUGGAGUUUAAGAAGUAGCCAAAAAUGUCAAGAGUUGCAGAGAAGGGAAUAAGAACUGAGAAGAGAUGGUGUUCAUCUAGUGAUAUUUAUAGAAGCAGUUCAUGAAUAAGAACCUUGGAAUUCUUUCAUCUAUUUUAUGGGUCAACUUUGUAACUGAAUUUUAAGGACCAAAGGUACAUCCAAUCCAGCUGGUGGGAUGUUAUUGUUCACUUAGUCCUGACCUCUGGAUGUAAAGUGCCUAUUCUAGUUCUCAUCUACCUGUGAUUCCUCAUGGUCUUGCAAUCUAAGGACUAAAUGGUA
ensembl:lncRNA